AGAAUUCCCCUCCACGCAGAGCGCCACAGAAGAGGCGCAUCUCUUGUAAACACAGCGGCUCUCGCGAGAUUUCCUCGCGCCGCACAGCACACGCAGGAGCGUCUAUGGAGCAGUGAGGCAGGCGGGAGACGGAGCAACCGAGCCCGGCGCGGACUGGAGCAGGAGACGCUGGGUGAGAGAGGGUAACCUGCCUGUGACGUCGCUGCUGUGGUGUGUCUGAGCGGCGGCUCCCGUGGCGUGCUUCUCUGAUUAUCCCGUCCAUCCUUGCUCCAUUCGAGCCUGUAAGGAAGACGCGCACAUACUCAGGGAGGCGAGGGAAGCCCAUUGGUCUCCCAACCGACGCCAGCGCCAGGCUGAGUCACUGUUGAGGAGUGGGAAGAUCUUGAGAGAGAGGGAGACAGCAUCACGGAGAGAGCGUGAGAGAGAAAAGCAACGGAAGGAGGGGAAAACCGCUACACAACGCCUUUGAGAGCGAA